AGUUAGAGAGGUUUUACUGUACUGUGCCUUCGUAGGAAGUAAAGGAGGGACGAGAAGGUUAGGAAACAAUAAACUGUCGUGCAAGAUGUAACAUUGGUUUCCAUUGAGUAGUUAUAACACCACUCAUGGGGUUUCUUAAAAGACAGAGGUCUGGCUGCUUAUCAGCAGACCUCCUUUGCGCUGAUUGGUCACUCACAAAUAGCAGAACUCGACUUGUUUAAAAAAAUAAUAAUUAGAAGGUUAUGUGUUAGUUAUGUUGCAUAUGUAAGAAACUCGUCUUUGUUUUCUAGUUGAGAGACAAACAUAUUUGUUGAAUUCUAGGACAAAAGAAGGCUGAGAUAAUUAACUCAGUAACAGGCAAGGGUGGUCAAGGUGUUGCAUCUCGACUGUCCAAGAAAUGCCUGUUCCAACGUUUCACCAAUCUUGUGGGAAGAAUUGGAUCAAUAAAAGGAAUGACUUCUGAAUCAUGUCCAAAUCUGUACUCGGGUGCAAAAGCAGCAGAGAUUAUAAGAUGGCAAAGGAGCAGCUGGUGCGUGCAUUCGAGACAGCUAAACUGGGGUUUACCUUGAAGGAUAAGAGUAGUUGCUCAGUCCUCCGUCACAGUUGCGCCCAGAAGCUGAAUCCACACUUCGCACCAGUAAAAGCGGAGUCUGGUACAUUCAUACUUGUUGACUUAAGUGUCUCUUGUGUCUUCGCUUACUGUUAUCAGUGGAAGAAUAUUUAUAUUGUUACAAUCAGAACUGAACUACUCUGAGGCAACGUGGACACCCAUAAAUUAUAAAUAAUUUUUAUUCUGUCAAUUUUGGUCUCCUGUUUUGUAACACCAUGUCGACUUGUAGAUAGAUGCAAACAUUUUAGAGGAAGAUAUUGUCUCCAUCUUCCAGGCUAAAGAGUUAUUUCAGAGCAGUCUCCUUCCACAUUUUACCGUGCAACGAUAAUGAGCUGUUCUGUAAUAAUGAAUCUCACUGGCAUCUUAAAUGUUUAUAUAGUUGCCUAGACUGAAUUUUUUCUUAUUCCCGCUUUACUUCUUCUGUGAAAUUUAUGUGUAUAAUUAUUUUCUUGGUAUAAUAAUUCAGUAAUAAACAUAUUUUGAAUAUAGUGCAAUGCUAGUGAAUUCUAAAUAUUCUGUAUCAUUUCUAAGAUUAGGUCUGUUAUAGUGUGUUCUAUUCCUGGGACAUGUUUUUAUGGUACUAAUUUAUGUAUAGGUAUUUUCUGAAUGUAAUAUGACUUGUCCAGUAAUGGAUGAAAUUAUUAUUUUAUAAUUUGUAUUCAGUUGAGUACAAAAUUUAAAAAGGUGACUUACUUUUGAUUGGUAAUAAAAUAGCAACAAGUGGACUGUA